GCGGGCUGGCCGAGUGGUCAGGCGCCGGCCUUCCAAGCCGCGCUGAGAGGGUUCGAUCCCCUCCGCCCGCUCCA
rnacentral:tRNA from 7 species